GCCGCCGCCGCGCUCUAAGGCUGGUCGCGGUGGUGCAAAAAAUGUUUCUCCGCUACUCGAGACCAAAAAACCUGCCCUGUCUACUGAGCAUGCCCGGUUUGACAGCUUCACAGCCGAGGUUUUUUUUUUUUUCUCCUUUUCCCCAAGACUCCAGGUUUUAGCCGCAGCUGAGAUGGGAGGUGGAGGGAGGUGGGGGGAGGAGGAGAGGGAGAGGAGGAGGAGGAGAAAGAGGAGAAGGGCUUAAGGAGCAAGUAUCGGGCAGAGGAAGGGAAGUCGCAAUGAGAAAGAUCAGGGUGUUAUAGGGUGGAGAGGGGAAGGAGAAAGCUGGAUAUGGAAGCAGAGGAAGGAAAUAUGGAUCAACAAAAUUUAGAUUUCCUACUACAGUGGAUAGAUGCCUGGCCAGAAAAGCCAAAAGCCCGUGAAUGCGGUGCAUAAGCGACCCACAAGCUCUCGUGCGUCUGUCGGUGAGAGUGCACCGCCGACUGCGUCCUGCUGACAGUGUGACCCCAGAGCGCCAAGGCCGGCCGGCCACAUGCAGCCUACUGGCGGCGCAUCAGAUCAGCAGUAACGACGUCCACCUGAAGGUGGUUGGGGGAAGAGGGGAGCGCUAAGGGAUCCUGCCCUGCCUGGCCGCCCAGGUUCCUGGGCUCCCUAAACGGCUCCGCCCCUCACCCAGCCUGGCACCAGGGCACGUACUCGGGCGAACCCAGCGCGCUGCCCCAAGCCCUGGAUCCCUCCCUCCCUCCCAACCCUCCUCAGCUUCCUCGAAAAAGCGGAGAAGCGGAAUCUGCACGCCCAGAAACUCGCGUCAGAAGCCUUAGUAGUCCGACUGGGCAUGCUCGGGACUUGGGGCGCUUCGCAUGGAGGCACUCUCCAGCGGCUAACAUCUGUCCGACUGGGCCAGAUAGAGCAAGACCGUGGGAGAUACCAAGUGCCGAGCCAGGGGAGCUGCACAAACUGGAGAAAUAGGAGUCUAGCGGAUUCCCAGGCCUCCUGCCCCGCGGUGCCACCCCAGCCGUAGGCAGGUAGGGGGCGCGCAGAGCAGCUAGGGAGCACCGCGUGUGCUCCCAAGGGACUGCUGACCUCUAGGUAAAGAAAAGAGAGCGUGAAGAGUCGAACAUUCUUUGGGCGAAGGACGUUUACUGAUUUUUUUUUUUUUAAGUAAAGAAAGAAGGGCGUGUGUGAAUGCGUAUAUGUGCACGCACGUUUUAAAUUUUCCUCCGCAAGAACAGGGACAGGAGAGCGAGAAGCUAUUGCCGAGUUGGGAACCCGCUAGAGGUUACAAUAAGGCAGGCUUGGAGUCGUGGCUGGUGCUAGUUACCGGGAAGAGUUCCUCUUGGCGCGGUGGGCGAACACCAAAGCUUCCAACUGUUCCCUUCCCUGGGUGGCGGCAGCUGCCCAAGGUCGGCUUCCGGGCUGGUCUCUGUGCUCCUGAGCAGGGGGACCAGAUUCAGUUUCAGAAAGAGAGGUAGUACAGAGUGACGCCAGGGGGAGUUCUCUGAACCGUGUGUUCCCAUUUUCCCAGCUUUUGAUAUAGGUAUUUGCAAAGAGGGAGCAUUGUAAGACCAUCACACCACCAAGGGGAGGAAAUACAAAGAGCUGAACACUCUAGGGGGAAGAAUCAGGGAAUCAAGAGCACGUUUAUUCCCAUCGUCCCUUCCCAACAAGGUCUUCAGCUUCAGGCAGGAAUCAUUUGGAUCCCUGCGGCUCAACACCCUCCCACUCCCGUCCCGCCCCACCGCCCUGCCAACAAAGAAACAAAAGAUGACAACCAGGCUCUGUAGGGGCAUAGCAACUGCUUCUAUCACCGGCUCUCUGUUGGGCUGUUGAGAAAGCAGUAGUGAAAGGAUGGGUAUAAAACCUGUGUCUUGCCACAAAUAUGUAAACGAAACCUUCCUAAAACCCACUACCCUCCUACAAAACAAAAACAAGUUAUUUGUAUAAACAUAUAUAGAUUUAAGUAUCCUAAAUAAAGAUUCCACAUUAUGAACUGCCCAAACCCUGAACUGUGGAAGGAAGACUUUCAGGAUACCUCCUCAAUCCUUACCAAAGAGUUCUGGAAGGAGAAAAAAAAGAAACAUCUGGCCAGUCACUUCUCCAAUGACUGGAAAUACUCUGGGUGUUUCCGUAACCAGCGAUUAAGAAAAGAACUCCCCAUAACAAAAAGGGAAUUCUGGCCAAAUGGGACAUGGACAAACCCUAAUGACCAAGGAAAUGGAAUAUGAAUUUAAAAGCAUGAUUAUCUCACUCUCAUUCUUGCUGUUCCUUUGUUACUCUUCUUGAAGAUACUGGCAGAAAGGGAGAGUUGAUACUUAGGGAUUUCAUGAAAGGAGGCCGAGUUUGUUUCUCUCCUGGCAAUUCAGCAGUCCCUGUAAUCAUUUUUUUUUAGAAAUUCUCUACCACCUCCUCUUUAUGCUGUAUUUUCUCUAGCAUUCUUCCCUCUCAUUUCCUUACUGGUCUCCUGUGGCUCCCUGGUGUCCUUAAUUCAUUUGGUCUGCACCUGUCUCCCUUUAGUUCCUUCAAAACAUUGUUUCCAGUCCUAAUUCCGAAGUACAGAGGGCUCUGUCACUUUUCUCUGUUUCCUAAGAACUGAUUUGCUGCUUCUAGACGCCUAUAUCCUGAUAUUGUAGGUGGAUUUCCUAAGGCAUUUAUUCAACUUUAGAGAUUCCCCAGACACAUUUAAGCAACAUGAAAUUGCAGAAUUUUCAAGUAGUUUUGCUCAUGGGACCAAGAAUUUCUAUUUCAAAUAUGAAUAUCAGGAAGAAGACACACUAAAUUGCUAGUUUCAGAAUAGCCAAUGUAAAUAUAACAGAUUGUAAUGGAGCAUGCAAUCUCUAUAUGACAGUUGUCCAGUUGCCAAGUGUAUAUUAUUAAAAUAAUUUGCUAGGAAUUUUAAGAUAUAUACCUUUUUGUUAACAAAGACACACACACACACAUGCACUCAUACACCUUUUUAUGUUUAUUCCCAAAACUAAUGUAAUUACAUAAAUUCAAUUCAGCAAGUGAUUAUGGAACAUCUACUAUAUUCCAGGAACUGUGCCAGCAUUGGGAAUAGGCAAAGAAAUUGAGACUUAAAGAAGCUAAGAAAUGUUCAAAGAUGUGUGAACAAUUUGCUAAUCAACAAGUAUAUACUGUGUGACUGUUACCGUGUAUCUAGACUAUUUCACUCCUAGAGAACAAUAUUUAGAUGUUCUGGCCUUGAUUUUUUAAAUAUAUUUUUAAUCUAUAGGUUGCAUUCUGUGAGAAGAAUGCAUAAUGGAAAAUAUGACAUGUCAGUUUUGUUUCUAAGUACCCUCAUAAUAAGAAUGUAAGUACAAUAAUAUUUGUAUUAGUCUAUUCUCACGCUGCCAAUAAAGACAUACCUGAGAUUAAGUAACUUAUACAGGAAAGAAGUUUCAUUGUACUCACAGUUCAGCAUGGCUGGGGAGGUCUCAGGAAACUUACAAUCAUGGUGGAAGGGGAAACAAACAUGUCCUUCUUCACAUGGUGGCAGCAAGGAGAAGUGCAGAGCAAAAGGUGGAAAAGCCCCCCAUUAUAAAUCCAUCAGAUCUCAUGAGAACUCACUCACUAUCACAAGAAUAGCAUGGAGGCAACCACCCCUAUAUUCAGUUACCACCCACAGGAUCUCUCCCAUGAAACACAGAGAUUAUGGGGACUACUAUUCAACAUGAGAUUUGGUGGGAACACAACCAAACCAUAUCAAUAUUAGAAGACUAAAGUCAAUAUCAAUUACAUAAACAAAAUCAAUGUGCACCAUCUGAAAUGAAGGAGUUUUGUUUGGUUGCUUGUCUAAUGGCAAGAUGUUUUCAAAGGCAUAAUUUCAACAUGUACUCGUUGUGGUAGACUAUUAUUUCCUAUUUCAACUGAUAACAACACCAUCCAGAGAUCAACUAGCAGAGAUUAUGAGUAGUGCUGGCACCUUAACUUUUGGCUACAAUGAUUGGAAGCAGGAAAGGUAGCUUAAUGAUUUUCUACCCAAACAGCUUCCAUAAACAGGGCUGUAAAAUUGCAGUCACCAGCUUGCUGCAAGGGAGUGCCCAUUUCCGGCCAGCUGUGGGCUCCCCCUGGGGAAAGCAGCCACCUUGGAGGAAGCUUAUUUGAGCCUGGAUAUGAACAGUUGGUGGCCAGGAUUCUGCAUCCAUCUGUUCAGAACAGAGUCAGACACACUAUUUUUCACAUACCCAAGUAAGGCUCAGGAAAACAACUGGCAAGCCAAUUAAAGUCUUCUCU
rnacentral:lncRNA from 1 species